AUUGAACGCUGGCGGCAUGCUUUACACAUGCAAGUCGAACGGUAACAGGCCUUCGGGUGCUGACGAGUGGCGAACGGGUCCGUAAUGCAUCGGAACGUGCCCAGAGGUGGGGGAUAACGCAGCGAAAGCUGUGCUAAUACCGCAUGUGAUCUGAGGAUGAAAGCGGGGGACCAAGCAGCAAUGUUUGGCCUCGCGCCUCUGGAGCGGCCGAUGUCAGAUUAGGUAGUUGGUGGGGUAAAGGCCUACCAAGCCGACGAUCUGUAGCUGGUCUGAGAGGACGACCAGCCACACUGGGACUGAGACACGGCCCAGACUCCUACGGGAGGCAGCAGUGGGGAAUUUUGGACAAUGGGCGCAAGCCUGAUCCAGCAAUGCCGCGUGCGGGAAGAAGGCCUUCGGGUUGUAAACCGCUUUUGUACGGAACGAAAAGGCUCUGGCUAAUACCUGGGGCUGAUGACGGUACCGUAAGAAUAAGCACCGGCUAACUACGUG
rnacentral:rRNA from 1 species